GUUCAGGGGUAAACCUGAGAAACCCGAAAGGUCGAACGGGGAGAUUCAUCGUGUCUCAUUGUUGGCAUGGGGUCGUCGUGCGACGGAAGACGUGCGCGUCUAUCCGCUCCUUUGAUCUCAUGGUUACCGACUUUGAAUGCGUGCACUUCUCCCCUAGUAGGACGUCGCGAUCCGUUGGGUGCCGGCUUAAGGCCCACAAAGGAGCCCGUGCAUGAGUGGUUACCAUGCUGUUUGUGUGCGGACUUGUGGUGUCCCGGCCGGCUUGCUCGACGGUGUACAGAUGGCGCAAGGCCGCGAUUCAAUUCGCGUCUGACCCGUCGCAAGCGCGCUGUGCGUAUUGGUGUAUCGGACAUUAGUGCCGGUCCCGGUCCACAGUGGCUGUUCGCUUCGGUGUUCUCGGACAGACCUUGUAUUGAAACGCCUAUCUGCGACGCUAUUGCUUUGGGUACUUUCAGGACCCGUCUUGAAACACGGACCAAGGAGUCUAGCAUGUGCGCAAGUCAUUGGGAUUUGAAAUAAACCUAAAGGCGAAAUGAAAGUAAAGAUCUGCCUUGUGUAGAUCUAGGGAAGAUGGGUGGACACAUCAAUGAUGAUGCUGCCCCGCACUCCCGGGGCGUCUCAUUCUCAUUGCGAGAGGAGGCGCACCAAGAGCGUACAUGCUGGGACCCGAAAGAUGGUGAACUAUGCCUGGUCAGGACGUAGUCAGGGGAAACCCUGAUGGAGGUCCGUAGCGAUU
rnacentral:rRNA from 1 species